rnacentral:sRNA from 1 species
GCCAGGUGUGGUGGUGCACACCUGUAAUCCCAGCAGUUCAGGAGGCUGAGGCAGGAGAAUUGCAAGUUCAAAGCCAGCCUCAGCAAUUUAGUGAGGCCCUAAACAACUUAGCAAGACCCUGUUACAU